AGCAGCGAACGGGUGAGUAUCGCGUGGGUAAUCUACCUAGAGGUGGGGGAUAGCCUCGGGAAACCGAGGGUAAUACCGCAUAAGUCCUCAACGGCAUAAGUCGAUGAGGGGAAAGGCGGGGCUCCUUCGGGACCUGUCGCCUCUGGAUGAGCCCGCGUCCGAUUAGCUAGUUGGUGGGGUAAUGGCCUACCAAGGCAACGAUCGGUAGCCGGCCUGAGAGGGUGAUUUGCCACAUUGGGACUGAGACACGGCCCAGACUCCUACGGGAGGCAGCAGUGGGGAAUUUUGGGCAAUGGGGGAAACCCUGACCCAGCGACGCCGCGUGGAGGAUGACGGCCUUCGGGUUGUAAACUCCUGUCAGGUGGGAAGAAAAGCCAGUCGGAUAAUACCCGGCAGGAAUUGACGGUACCACCAAAGGAAGCCCCGGCUAACUCCGUG
rnacentral:rRNA from 1 species